UAACAACUCACAUUUAAUGCAGUCCCAGUUGGAGCCAGAGUGGCACUCAAUAAACAAGAAUGGACAUGACACUCUAAAUCAAGCAACACAGGGAGAAGGAAUUUCUUGAAUUCAAAAGGAUACAGAAGCUAAAUGUCACUUCAGCUGUGACCAUUACUCCCAGCCAGUAUGAGGCUUCAACAUUUACAAAAUGCAUUUAAUUCCUACAGAAAUCUGGAGGGUGAGCAUGCUGGCUUGAAUUGUGUCUUCCCAAAGGAUAUGCUAAAGUCUAAACAUCAGUGCCUGUGAUGUGACCUUAUUUAGAAAUAGGAUCUUUGCAGACAUAGCCAAGUUAAGGUGAGGUCACACUGGAUUAGCACGGGCCCUAAUCCAGUUACUGGUGUCCUUAUAAAAUGAGGGAAAUAUAGACACACAGAAAAGAGAAAGCCAAGCGAAGACACAGACACACCAGGGGAAGAUGGCAGAUACUGAGUUAUAAAGCAGUGAGCCAAGGGCUCCAGAAACCGAGGAGAAGUAUGGGACACAUUCUCCCUCUGAUCUUGCAAGAAGGAACCAACUCUAAUGACACCUUGAUUUUGGAUUUUUGGUGCCUAGAUCUGUGGGGGAAAAAAAUUCUGCUAUUUUAAGCCACACAGUUUUUGGUACUUUGUUAUGGCAUCCCUAGCAAAUUAAUAAGUGAGUAUUCCAUUUAUAGGGUGAAAACACAGAUUUCAGAGAUGCUUAGGAAUUUGCCCAAGAUUAUAUAGCAGGUAAACUGUUCCAAUGGGGACUUGAAACCCAGAGUUGUAAUGACAAGUCCUAGACCUUUUUCUCCACGUGACCUUGUCUUACAGGAUGUGCGUUACAUGGGCCUGUUUAGAAAAUUAACUGAUCUCUAUGUCUGAAAACAGUUGGCAUGGAAUAAUAAAGAGAUGUGUAGA
rnacentral:lncRNA from 1 species